GGGUUCGUGGACGCGCACUGCUGAGGAGUCCCAUAAUAGGACGAAACGGCCGUCCAGUGCUUCCAGGUUUUC
rnacentral:tRNA from 1 species